rnacentral:rRNA from 1 species
AACGAACGCUGGCGGCAUGCCUAACACAUGCAAGUCGAACGAGACCUUCGGGUCUAGUGGCGCACGGGUGCGUAACGCGUGGGAAUCUGCCCUUGGGUUCGGAAUAACUCGCCGAAAGGCGUGCUAAUACCGGAUGAUGUCGUAAGACCAAAGAUUUAUCGCCCAGGGAUGAGCCCGCGUAAGAUUAGGUAGUUGGUGAGGUAAAGGCUCACCAAGCCGACGAUCUUUAGCUGGUCUGAGAGGAUGAUCAGCCACGCUGGGACUGAGACACGGCCCAG